CAGCCGCCGCGGGAAAACGUAGGUGGCAAGCGUUGUCCGGAAUUAUUGGGCGUAAAGGGCUCGCAGGCGGUUUCUUAAGUCUGAUGUGAAAGCCCCCGGCUCAACCGGGGAGGGUCAUUGGAAACUGGGUAACUUGAGUGCAGAAGAGGAGAGUGGAAUUCCACGUGUAGCGGUGAAAUGCGUAGAGAUGUGGAGGAACACCAGUGGCGAAGGCGACUCUCUGGUCUGUAACUGACGCUGAGGAGCGAAAGCGUGGGGAGCGAACAGGAUUAGAUACCCCAGUAGUCCCUGUCUCUUAUAC
rnacentral:rRNA from 1 species